rnacentral:rRNA from 1 species
UCCCGUAGGUGAACCUGCGGAAGGAUCAUUAUA